AUUGAACGCUGGCGGCAUGCUUUACACAUGCAAGUCGGACGAGUGGCGAACGGGUGAGUAACGCAUCGGAACGUACCGAGUAAUGGGGAUAACUGUCCGAAAGGGCUGCUAAUUCCGCCUAUUUUUCGAACGGCCGAUGGGUGAUUAGCGGGUUGGCGGGGUAAAGGCCCACCAAGGCGACGAUCCGUUGCGGGUCUGAGAGGAUGAUCCGCCACACUGGGACUGAGACACGGCCCAGACUCCUACGGGAGGCAGCAGUGGGGAAUUUUGGACAAUGGGCGCAAGCCUGAUCCAGCCAUGCCGCGUGUCUGAAGAAGGCCUUCGGGUUGUAAAGGACUUUUGUCAGGGAAGCGGUACCUGAAGAAUAAGCACCGGCUAACUACGUGCCAGCAGCCGCGGUAAUUC
rnacentral:rRNA from 1 species